GAUGAACGCUGGCGGCGUGCCUAAUACAUGCAAGUCGAGCGAACAGACGAGGAGCUUGCUCCUUUGACGUUAGCGGCGGACGGGUGAGUAACACGUAGGUAACCUACCUAUAAGACUGGGAUAACUUCGGGAAACCGGAGCUAAUACCGGAUAAUAUUUCGAACCGCAUGGUUCGAUAGUGAAAGAUGGCUUUGCUAUCACUUAUAGAUGGACCUGCGCCGUAUUAGCUAGUUGGUAAGGUAACGGCUUAUCAAGGCAACGAUACGUAGCCGACCUGAGAGGGGGGAUGGGCACACUGGAACUGAGACACGGUCCAGACUCCUACGGGAGGCAGCAGUAGGGAAUCUUCCGCAAUGGGCGAAAGCCUGACGGAGCAACGCCGCGUGAGUGAUGAAGGUCUUCGGAUCGUAAAACUCUGUUAUUAGGGAAGAACAAACGUGUAAGUAACUGUGCACGUCUUGACGGUACCUAAUCAGAAAGCCACGGCUAACUACGUG
rnacentral:rRNA from 1 species